GACGAACGCUGGCGGCGUGCUUAACACAUGCAAGUCGAACGGGCCUUGUCCCCUUUUUUUUGGGUGUGGGGUUAGUGGCGAACGGGUGAGUAACACGUGAGUAACCUGCCCCUCACUUCUGGAUAACCGCUUGAAAGGGUGGCUAAUACGGGGUGUUCUGGCCUGCUCGCAUGGGUGGGUUUGGAAAGAUUCGACCGGUUUUGGUUGUUUUGGUGGGGGAUGGGCUCGCGGCCUAUCAGCUUGUUGGUGGGGUGAUGGCCUGCCAAGGCUUUGACGGGUAGCCGGCCUGAGAGGGUGGGCGGUCACACUGGGACUGAGACACGGCCCAGACUCCUACGGGAGGCAGCAGUGGGGAAUAUUGCACAAUGGGCGCAAGCCUGAUGCAGCGACGCCGCGUGAGGGAUGGAGGCCUUCGGGUUGUGAACCUCUUUCGCCAGUGAAGAAGGUCCUGCUCUUUGUGGUGGGGUUGACGGUAGCUGGGUUAAUGAAGCGCCGGCUAACUACGUG
rnacentral:rRNA from 1 species